UUGCAUUCCAAGGCUUCAGCAGACUUCGGAACAGCUAAAGAGUACUUAAGAGAAGCCAUCGCUAUCGCAGAGCGACUUGAAGAUCCUGUUGCCGUGGCAGAUCGCCAUGGGGACUUGGGAACCACUUUUCGGUCGGAGGGGCGGUUCACCGAUGCCCUUGCCCAUCAGAAAAAACAGUUUGUGUUUGCAAAACAAAGAGGUCCAGACGGACAUGCAACAGAUAGACGACACUCAUGUCCUCUUCAACAUUUUCAAUGCGGCUACCAUCAACCACAUCGUUGUCUUCCUGACCGGGACCGGAGCGUUUCCAGAGGGAAUGGGCGGGGCCAUCUACUUCAGUUGGCCGUCACCGGAGGGCGAAAUGGUCUGGAUGUUUCUCGGUUUCAUCACCAACGAAAAGCCAAGUGCCAUUUUUAAAGUAGUCGGCUUGAAGAAAGUCUAUGCCUGUACAGCAGCCGAUGAAGACGAUGUCACAAAUUCGAAUCUCUGUGGAACCCCUUCACGUUAUCCAGCAUCAGAUACCAGCAGAAACUACCCAGAAAGCAUUGCGAAAGUUCCGUUGGUUAUUGCCGUGAUGCGUGUGUGUACAUCGUGUAGCUAGGACGGUGGUUAACAAAAACACAACCACUAGAACUCGCAUUUUUCAAGCAUUUUCAAUAUUUAAAGACCUGAAGUCCCAUCCACUAUUCCACGCAAUCUACUGGAAGCGAAUCAGGGAGACAGAAGCCCCUUUCAUCCCAGCCCCAGAUGACAGAACAGACACCACUUAUUUUGACGCUCGGAACAACAUACAGCAUCUCCAGAUGUCUUCUUUUGCACUUUGACCUCUUGAAUGAUAGUGCAAUCCACAACUCAUCAACAGAAGUAAUGAAACUAUUCCAGGAUGGUGGUCAACUUGGUCCAGUGGUUAGACUGCAGGACUUUCAAUCACAAGGUUGUAGGUUUGAAUCCUACUAAGCUAA